rnacentral:lncRNA from 1 species
AGAACAAUGUGUAUUUCCUGUAUCUCUGAUAAGGCGGCUCCUCGUUUGAAAAUAAGCGCCGUUGAAUGCCGUGUAAGGCUAGCGUCAGGAAGCCCUCAAUAGAACAAGAUUGUAAAGGAACCCAGUGUGAACAUCAAGAAAGAACGGCAACUGGCAGGUCGAUCCUAUCUUGCGAUGUCUGAACUGAACGCAUCCGUGUUACUGGCACUCUUUAUAUUUUCGGUAACACAGAUUUCCUAUUCACACAGUUCUUGCGCUGUGGACUACAUUGGAAUGGAUUGCAGUUCUGGCAAUCACACCUGCCCACCAGGUUGCAAAUGCAGCCUUUACACACCCGUCGAAACGAAUGUCGAAAAAUGGUUGUGUGGUCCACACAAGGUUAACAGGAUGAUAUAGACUGCCAUGUAUCCCUCAUAGCACGCGAUGAAAACGACAUUCAGGUGUCCUUUUCGAACUACGAAUAAUUAUAAAAAACAACGGUUCUGAUCCAGUCAGUGUACGUGCUGUAGUCCACGGGAAGCGAACUUUGAGGAAAGGGGAGAAAUAAAUGCUUUACCACUCAG